UAGGGAAUCUUCCGCAAUGGACGAAAGUCUGACGGAGCGACGCCGCGUGAGCGAAGAAGGCCUUCGGUCGUAAAGCUCUGUUGUGAGGGACGAAGGAGCGCCGUUUGAACAAGGCGGCGCGGUGACGGUACCUCACGAGAAAGCCCCGGCUAACUACGUGCCAGCAGCCGCGGUAAUACGUAGGGGGCGAGCGUUGUCCGGAAUUAUUGGGCGUAAAGCGCGCGCAGGCGGUUCCUUAAGUCUGAUGUGAAAGCCCACGGCUCAACCGUGGAGGGUCAUUGGAAACUGGGGGACUUGAGUGCAGGAGAGGAGAGCGGAAUUCCACGUGUAGCGGUGAAAUUGCGUAGAGAUGUGGAGGAACACCAGUGGCGAAGGCGGCUCUCUGGCCUGUAAACUGACGCUGAGGCGCGAAAGCGUGGGGG
rnacentral:rRNA from 1 species